rnacentral:rRNA from 1 species
GUCGAGAAUCUUUCACAAUGGGGGCAACCCUGAUGGGGCGACGCCGCGUGGAGGAUAAGGUCUUCGGAUUGUAAACUCCUGUCAUGCGUGAACAAGGUUGCUUGGUUAAUACCUGGGCAAAUUGAUGGUAACGCAAGAGGAAGAGACGGCUAACUCUGUGCCAGCAGCCGCGGUAAUACAGAGGUCUCAAGCGUUGUUCGGAAUCACUGGGCGUAAAGGGUGCGUAGGUGGCGUGGUAAGUCAGAUGUGAAAGCCCGGGGCUCAACCUCGGAACUGCAUCCGAUACUGCCAUGCUAGAGUACUGGAGAGGUGACUAGAAUUCUCGGUGUAGCAGUGAAAUGCGUAGAUAUCGAGAGGAAUACCAAAGGCGUAGGCAGGUCACUGGACAGUUACUGACACUGAGGCACGAAGGCCAGGGGAGCGAACGGGAUUAGAAACCCUAGUAGUCC